UACGGGGGGGGCAAGCGUUGUUCGGAAUUACUGGGCGUAAAGGGCUAGUAGGCGGCUAAUUAAGUCCGACGUGAAAUCCCAAGGCUUAACCUUGGAACUGCGUCGGAUACUGGAUGGCUUGAAUUCGGGAGAGGGAUGCAGAAUUCCAGGUGUAGCGGUGAAAUGCGCAGAUAUCAGGAGGAACACCAAUGGCGAAGGCAGCACUCUGGGACGUGACUGACGCUGAGACGCGAAAGCGUGGGGAGCAAACAGG
rnacentral:rRNA from 1 species